GUUCCACUCAAAGCAACACACAACCCAACACGGCUGUUGGAGGAGGUGGGUCGUGUACACUCCACAGCGAGCAUUGGCUUCACUGAUGGCUUUAACCAGAUAGUUCCCAGUGUUUGCCCUGGCUCAAGGAAAAUCUCCACUAGCUAAACAGUACUUGGAGGCCAGAGAAGAAGCACUCACCGAGAAUCUACAAGGAAUGGACUUCAGAGCGGUGUUCAUCCUCCUGUCAAUCAUUUUUAAAAUGAGUGUGGAUCAUCACAUCAUGAUUGGAGAGGGUGAACCCAACACACCAUUCCCAAUUGUCCAGGUGACCCAAGAAGACUGGAAGUCCACAUUUGGGGGACGUAGCUGUUGUUCCCUGAAGGUAGACGGGGUCGAGGUGUGUGAAGGCAUGAAGGUAGAGGAAGCAACGAUCUC